CAUCACGUGACCCCUUGAUCGCCGCCACCCUCACGAAGAAUCUGAACCUGCGGAGGUGCUGGAAGAGGAGGGGGAACAAAAAGCGGAGAAAGAGGAGGUGGAGCGACUCUCACUGGAAACAAACUAGAGAGUAGAAGAAAGGCCCUUCUACAACAAAGGCUGUAAAGAAAGAUCCACAUGGAGUUGGACAGGAAGGGAGGAGAAGCAAUCAGGUCAGGACCCAUGCCCCUAGCAGAGGACAAAAAAGAGGAGUGGGAUAUCAUGGGCUCAGAUAUCCUCCCUGGAGAGUGAGUGGUUUGAGCCACAUAUUGGGCAAACCAGAUUUGGGGUCCAACAAUAGAAAGAUGAGUUUUCUUAGCUGGCUUGAAAACCAGUGGGACUUACUGGUGGGCUGUACGGAAUAGACUUCAUGCAGAAAGCAUGUGCACACACAUACAUUUGGUUAUUCCUGACACCAAGGUGGAUGAAGCAGAUUGAAGAAUCCAUGGGGCUCUGACUGGUCUACUGUAACCACCUCAGCAUGCACACCAGCCCAAACUUGGUGCCUGCUCCAGUCUUUCUUACUCCAGUGCAGCUCUCCACUAGGGCAAUGGCUGCCAUCACUGAGAAGAGUGCACACAUGGGUGGAAUGGAGCCAGCUUAGACCCAGAACUGCGUCUGAACCAGCAUAUCCACCUUAUAAAAAAUACCAAAGAAAAUUCUUCAGGGUGAAAGAAAGUGAUUCCAGAUAAUAAUUUGAAUCCACAUGAAAAAACAACCUGCUGGUAAAGCUGGCUCUACAGGUUGGAAGAGGCAGCCUUAUUUUUGCCAAGUUGAAUUAGAAGUCCAAGUUCCUCAAUCAUUCUCCAUUUAAAUCUGAGAGGGGUGAGCUUAUUAUUUCUGGGUGGACAUGGAGUUUCUGAUUCCCCACUAUGCUUCUACUAAUGCCUCCUUUGCUGUGAAGGUAGCAGUUUUUGUCUCCCCUCAUGGCCUCUGCUCAUAUCACAAGACAGGAGAAGCCUAUUUCGUGCUUAGCAAAUUUGAACAUUGAUCUCUCCAUAGGCAUCUACUGCUGUCACCUAGGUGGAGAGCGAGGGGUAUUUCAUUAUUAAGAGGUGGGAGUAGCAAUCCAGGCUCCUGUUUGUGGUCUACACUGACACCAUGUGGAAAUGGUGACUCAUUACAGUACUGAGGGUUUAAAAGUUUAUGCUCUCUACUUGGCCUUCUUCUACAACUUCCCUUUACCCACCCCAAACCUUGUUACAAACCUGAAAAGGUUUAAGUCUGGGCUCUUGGUCUUUACUGACAUGGAAGUGGGUGGUACAAGUUAUUUGAAUGGUAUUUAGCUGAAGUAGUGAAAUUAUUGUCUAAAAUUUUUCUAUCUUAUCAGCCUUACUUAUCUUGAUUUAUAAAUUGUAGUGUAGUUGAUUUACAAUAUUGUGUUGGUUUCAGAUGUACAGAAUAGUGAUUUAGUUAUUGUUUUAUGAUUAUAUUUCAUUAUAGGUUAUUGCAAGAUACUGA